rnacentral:rRNA from 1 species
UAGGGAAUCUUCCGCAAUGGACGAAAGUCUGACGGAGCAACGCCGCGUGAGUGAUGAAGGUUUUCGGAUCGUAAAACUCUGUUGUUAGGGAAGAACAAGUACAAGAGUAACUGCUUGUACCUUGACGAUACCUAACCAGAAAGCCACGGCUAACUACGUGCCAGCAGCCGCGGUAAUACGUAGGUGGCAAGCGUUGUCCGGAAUUAUUGGGCGUAAAGCGCGCGCAGACGGUCCUUUAAGUCUGAUGUGAAAGCCCACGGCUCAACCGUGGAGGGUCAUUGGAAACUGGGGGACUUGAGUGCAGAAGAGAAGAGUGGAAUUCCACGUGUAGCGGUGAAAUGCGUAGAGAUGUGGAGGAACACCAGUGGCGAAGGCGACUCUUUGGUCUGUAACUGACGCUGAGGCGCGAAAGCGUGGGGAGCAAACAGGAUUAGAUACCCUGGUAGUCCACGCCGUAAACGAUGAGUGCUAAGUGUUAGAGGGUUUCCGCCCUUUAGUGCUGCAGCAAACGCAUUAAGCACUCCGCCUAGGGAGUACGGCCGCAAGGCUG